CACGUAGGGCGCGAGCGUUGUCCGGAAUUAUUGGGCGUAAAGAGCUCGUAGGCGGUCUGUUGCGUCCGCUGUGAAAACUCGAGGCUCAACCUCGAGACGUCGGUGGAAACCGUUUGGCUAGAGUCCGGAAGAGGAGAGUGGAAUUCCCGGUGUAGCGGUGAAAUGCGCAGAUAUCGGGAAGAACACCCGUGGCGAAGGCGGCUCUCUGGGGCGGUACUGACGCUGAGACGCGAAAGCGUGGGGAGCGAACAGG
rnacentral:rRNA from 1 species